UACGGGGGGGGCAAGCGUUGUUCGGAAUUACUGGGCGUAAAGGGCUCGUAGGCGGCCAACUAAGUCAUACGUGAAAUCCCUCGGCUUAACCGGGGAACUGCGUCUGAUACUGGAUGGCUUGAGUUCGGGAGAGGGAUGCGGAAUUCCAGGUGUAGCGGUGAAAUGCGUAGAUAUCUGGAGGAACACCGGUGGCGAAGGCGGCAUCCUGGACCGAUACUGACGCUGAGGCGCGAAAGCUAGGGGAGCAAACGGG
rnacentral:rRNA from 1 species